rnacentral:tRNA from 1 species
GGGGUUGUAGCUCAGUGGUAGAGCGCUUGCCUCGCAAGCAUGUGGCCCUGGGUUUGAUCCUCAGCACCACA